UACGUAGGUGGCAAGCGUUGUCCGGAAUUAUUGGGCGUAAAGCGCGCGCAGGCGGUUUCUUAAGUCUGAUGUGAAAGCUCCCGGCUCAACCGGGGAGGGUCAUUGGAAACUGGGAAACUUGAGUGCAGAAGAGGAAAGUGGAAUUCCAAGUGUAGCGGUGAAAUGCGUAGAGAUUUGGAGGAACACCAGUGGCGAAGGCGACUUUCUGGUCUGUAACUGACGCUGAGGCGCGAAAGCGUGGGGAGCAAACAGG
rnacentral:rRNA from 1 species